UACAGGGGGGGGCAAGCGUUGUUCGGAAUUACUGGGCGUAAAGGGCUCGUAGGUGGCCAACUAAGUCAGACGUGAAAUCCCUCAGCUUAACUGGGGAACUGCGUCUGAUACUGGAUGGCUUGAGUUUGGGAGAGGGAUGCGGAAUUCCAGGUGUAGCGGUGAAAUGCGUAGAUAUCUGGAGGAACACCGGUGGCGAAGGCGGCAUCCUGGACCAAUUCUGACGCUGAGGAGCGAAAGCCAGGGGAGCAAACGGG
rnacentral:rRNA from 1 species